rnacentral:lncRNA from 1 species
GCCCCAAUCAACCAGGGUUUCAUGUGCACGGACUUACUGCAGGUCAUUGUGAAAACAUGUACAACACAGUUCAUGGAUACAUCUCUAAGCCUCUUUAAUGGAAAUUGAAAUAAGGAAAAGGCAAUUCUGUUAUUCGCCUGGAGGAGAAUAAGCUCUUUCUACGUAACUUCAUCUCCCAAUGCACAUUACUUGUGGGAUGGCUGGCUAUUAGAAUGUGCAAUUCCUCUUCCAGCUUUGUGAAUCCAUCUAAAGGAUGCCUGAAGCAGAAGUGGAAACCCCAUGUAUACUCGUCACGACCUACACAAGAACUCGAAGCCUUCCAACACGCAGAAAUUGUUUUGUGAGACUCACCACCAGAUGGCAGCGUUCUCAGAGGACCAGUUUCCUCGCUAUGGUCCAGGGCCUUUCACUUUCCCACGUGGACCUCCUCCUUUU